rnacentral:lncRNA from 1 species
GGUUUGGUUUAGGGUUUAGGGUUUGGUUAGGGAUUUAUUUAGGGUUUAGGAUUUGGUUAGGAUUUGAUUAAGGAUUUAGGAUUUAUUUAGGAUUUGAUUUAGGAUUUGAUUUAGGAUUUAGGAUUUGAAUUAGGGCUUGAUUAGGAUAUGAUUUAGGGUUUAGGAUUUGAAUUAGGGCUUGAUUAGGAUUUGAUUUAGGGUUUAGGAUUUGAUAUGGAUUUGAUUUAGGGUUUAGGGUUUGGUUUAGGGUUUUGUUAGGAUUUGAUUUAGGAUUUAAUUAAGAUUUGGUUUAAGGUUUGUUUAGGAUUUGAUUUAGGAUUUAAGAUUCAAUUAAUUUUGGCCUAAAGUUUGAAUGAAAUUCAAUAGGAUUUUAACUAGAAUUAAAUUAAGAUUGAAUUGAGAUGUAUUUGAGUGAUAUUUGUCUUCUUU